GGGUUGUGAGGUUAAGCGACUAAGCGUACACGGUGGAUGCCCUGGCAGUCAGAGGCGAUGAAGGGCGUGCUAAUCUGCGAUAAGCGCCGGUAAGGUGAUAUGAACCGUUAUAACCGGCGAUACCCGAAUGGGGAAACCCAGUGUGACUCGUCACACUAUCAUUAACUGAAUCCAUAGGUUAAUGAGGCGAACCGGGGGAACUGAAACAUCUAAGUACCCCGAGGAAAAGAAAUCAACCGAGAUUCCCCCAGUAGCGGCGAGCGAACGGGGAGGAGCCCAGAGCCUGAAUCAGCAUGUGUGUUAGUGGAAGCGUCUGGAAAGGCGCGCGAUACAGGGUGACAGCCCCGUACACAAAAGCGCAUGUGCUGUGAGCUCGAUGAGUAGGGCGGGACACGUGGUAUCCUGUCUGAAUAUGGGGGGACCAUCCUCCAAGGCUAAAUACUCCUGACUGACCGAUAGUGAACCAGUACCGUGAGGGAAAGGCGAAAAGAACCCCGGCGAGGGGAGUGAAAAAGAACCUGAAACCGUGUACGUACAAGCAGUGGGAGCACAGGUUUACCUGUGUGACUGCGUACCUUUUGUAUAAUGGGUCAGCGACUUAUAUUCUGUAGCAAGGUUAACCGAAUAGGGGAGCCGGAGGGAAACCGAGUCUUAAUUGGGCGUUAAGUUGCAGGGUAUAGACCCGAAACCCGGUGAUCUAGCCAUGGGCAGGUUGAAGGUUGGGUAACACUAACUGGAGGACCGAACCGACUAAUGUUGAAAAAUUAGCGGAUGACCUGUGGCUGGGGGUGAAAGGCCAAUCAAACCGGGAGAUAGCUGGUUCUCCCCGAAAGCUAUUUAGGUAGCGCCUCGUGAAUUCAUCUCCGGGGGUAGAGCACUGUUUCGGCUAGGGGGCCAUCCCGGCUUACCAACCCGAUGCAAACUGCGAAUACCGGAGAAUGUUAUCACGGGAGACACACGGCGGGUGCUAACGUCCGUCGUGAAGAGGGAAACAACCCAGACCGCCAGCUAAGGUCCCAAAGUCAUGGUUAAGUGGGAAACGAUGUGGGAAGGCCCAGACAGCCAGGAUGUUGGCUUAGAAGCAGCCAUCAUUUAAAGAAAGCGUAAUAGCUCACUGGUCGAGUCGGCCUGCGCGGAAGAUGUAACGGGGCUAAACCAUGCACCGAAGCUGCGGCAGCGACACUGUGUGUUGUUGGGUAGGGGAGCGUUCUGUAAGCCUGCGAAGGUGGCCUGUGAGGGUUGCUGGAGGUAUCAGAAGUGCGAAUGCUGACAUAAGUAACGAUAAAGCGGGUGAAAAGCCCGCUCGCCGGAAGACCAAGGGUUCCUGUCCAACGUUAAUCGGGGCAGGGUGAGUCGACCCCUAAGGCGAGGCCGAAAGGCGUAGUCGAUGGGAAACGGGUUAAUAUUCCCGUACUUGGUGUUACUGCGAAGGGGGGACGGAGAAGGCUAUGUUGGCCGGGCGACGGUUGUCCCGGUUUAAGCGUGUAGGUGUGUGUUCCAGGUAAAUCCGGUUCACUUUAACACUGAGGCGUGACGACGAGGCACUACGGUGCUGAAGCAACAAAUGCCCUGCUUCCAGGAAAAGCCUCUAAGCAUCAGGUAACAUCAAAUCGUACCCCAAACCGACACAGGUGGUCAGGUAGAGAAUACCAAGGCGCUUGAGAGAACUCGGGUGAAGGAACUAGGCAAAAUGGUGCCGUAACUUCGGGAGAAGGCACGCUGACACGUAGGUGAAGUGAUUUACUCAUGGAGCUGAAGUCAGUCGAAGAUACCAGCUGGCUGCAACUGUUUAUUAAAAACACAGCACUGUGCAAACACGAAAGUGGACGUAUACGGUGUGACGCCUGCCCGGUGCCGGAAGGUUAAUUGAUGGGGUCAGCGCAAGCGAAGCUCCUGAUCGAAGCCCCGGUAAACGGCGGCCGUAACUAUAACGGUCCUAAGGUAGCGAAAUUCCUUGUCGGGUAAGUUCCGACCUGCACGAAUGGCGUAAUGAUGGCCAGGCUGUCUCCACCCGAGACUCAGUGAAAUUGAACUCGCUGUGAAGAUGCAGUGUACCCGCGGCAAGACGGAAAGACCCCGUGAACCUUUACUAUAGCUUGACACUGAACAUUGAGCCUUGAUGUGUAGGAUAGGUGGGAGGCUUUGAAGUGUGGACGCCAGUCUGCAUGGAGCCGACCUUGAAAUACCACCCUUUAAUGUUUGAUGUUCUAACGUGGACCCGUUACCCGGGUUGCGGACAGUGUCUGGUGGGUAGUUUGACUGGGGCGGUCUCCUCCUAAAGAGUAACGGAGGAGCACGAAGGUUGGCUAAUCCUGGUCGGACAUCAGGAGGUUAGUGCAAUGGCAUAAGCCAGCUUGACUGCGAGCGUGACGGCGCGAGCAGGUGCGAAAGCAGGUCAUAGUGAUCCGGUGGUUCUGAAUGGAAGGGCCAUCGCUCAACGGAUAAAAGGUACUCCGGGGAUAACAGGCUGAUACCGCCCAAGAGUUCAUAUCGACGGCGGUGUUUGGCACCUCGAUGUCGGCUCAUCACAUCCUGGGGCUGAAGUAGGUCCCAAGGGUAUGGCUGUUCGCCAUUUAAAGUGGUACGCGAGCUGGGUUUAGAACGUCGUGAGACAGUUCGGUCCCUAUCUGCCGUGGGCGCUGGAGAACUGAGGGGGGCUGCUCCUAGUACGAGAGGACCGGAGUGGACGCAUCACUGGUGUUCGGGUUGUCAUGCCAAUGGCACUGCCCGGUAGCUAAAUGCGGAAGAGAUAAGUGCUGAAAGCAUCUAAGCACGAAACUUGCCCCGAGAUGAGUUCUCCCUGAGACUUAGAGUCUCCUGAAGGAACGUUGAAGACGACGACGUUGAUAGGCCGGGUGUGUAAGCGCAGCGAUGCGUUGAGCUAACCGGUACUAAUGAACCGUGAGGCUUAACCUUACAACGCCGAAG
rnacentral:rRNA from 2 species